UACAGAGGGUGCAAGCGUUAAUCGGAGUUACUGGGCGUAAAGGGCGCGUAGGCGGGUGUCUAAGUCGGUUGUGAAAUCCCUGGGCUUAACCUGGGAAUUGCAUUCGAUACUGGAUAUUCUUGAGUAUGGUAGAGGAAAGUGGAAUUCUCGGUGUAGUGGUAAAAUACGUAGAUAUCGAGAAGAACACCGGUGGCGAAGGCGGCUUUCUGGACCAAUACUGACGCUGAGGCGCGAGAGCGUGGGGA
rnacentral:rRNA from 1 species